GACGAACGCUGGCGGCGUGCUUAACACAUGCAAGUCGAGCGGUAAGGCCCUUUCGGGGGUACACGAGCGGCGAACGGGUGAGUAACACGUGGGUGACCUGCCCUCAGCUCUGGGAUAAGCCUGGGAAACCGGGUCUAAUACUGGAUAUGACUCCAUGACGCAUGUUGUGGGGUGGAAAGCCUUGUGCGGCUGAGGAUGGGCCCGCGGCCUAUCAGCUUGUUGGUGGGGUGANGGCCUACCAAGGCGACGACGGGUAGCCGGCCUGAGAGGGCGACCGGCCACACUGGGACUGAGACACGGCCCAGACUCCUACGGGAGGCAGCAGUGGGGAAUCUUGCGCAAUGGGCGAAAGCCUGACGCAGCGACGCCGCGUGGAGGAUGAAGGUCUUCGGAUUGUAAACUCCUGUUGCCCGGGAGAAUAGCUCCGACCUAACACGUCGGAGUCUGACGGUACCGGGUGA
rnacentral:rRNA from 1 species